rnacentral:rRNA from 1 species
UACGGGAGGCAGCAGUGGGGAAUAUUGCACAAUGGGCGCAAGCCUGAUGCAGCCAUGCCGCGUGUAUGAAGAAGGCCUUCGGGUUGUAAAGUACUUUCAGUCGUGAGGAAGGUGUUAAGGUUAAUAACCUUAGCAAUUGACGUUAGCGACAGAAGAAGCACCGGCUAACUCCGUGCCAGCAGCCGCGGUAAUACGGAGGGUGCGAGCGUUAAUCGGAAUUACUGGGCGUAAAGGGCACGCAGGCGGUUAAUUAAGUUGGAUGUGAAAUCCCCGGGCUUAACCUGGGAAUGGCAUUCAAGACUGGUUAGCUAGAGUCUUGUAGAGGGAGGUAGAAUUCCAUGUGUAGCGGUGAAAUGCGUAGAGAUGUGGAGGAAUACCGGGUGGCGAAGGCGGCCCCUGGGACAAAGACUGACGCUCAUGUGCGAAAGCGUGGGGAGCGAAACAGGGAUUAGAUACC